GGGGAUGUACUGGUUUCGACGGGGGCAUUUGUAAAGGCAAUAAGCAAGCCGCAGUUGAGUACUCUGCGUUAAAAAGAUUCACCUAAAUAUAAAUGCUAAAACAAACAAAACUGCAGAGGUGGGUUCUCCCGCUCUGCUCGCUGCUUAAUUAAAUAAGCGGCCUUCUGACCUUUCCUUUCCUGUUUGGGAAAGAAUCGGGAGCUAAUUUAAAACAGGCUACUAUGCUGCCAAAGCUUUGAGGCGGCAUGGAUUUUAUGAAGCUACUUCUUCCUGAAUUUUGUGGUUUGGGGUCUUGAAGAGGGAAUUUUACAAAAACCAAUAAGCUUGUAGAAAGUUGCCCGGGCAGGCUUUCGGACAGGGGUUCGACUCCCCUCAUCUCCACCA
rfam:Catabacter hongkongensis strain HKT16 2806ref_2ab_c19, whole genome shotgun sequence.